AUGAAGGCGUUGGGCACACUUUGGGAGUACAAGUCGGUGGGGUUCUGCUUGUCAGCCCUCAAAUGCCACACAUCACCACUGUACCAAAUGCAAACCUUUGCACCCACCCUUGUGUUGGCCAAAUUCCCGCUUUGUGUACUUUGUGUCACAGCUGGAGAAGUCAUCUGGGGAGAUUGUGUACUGCGGGCAGGUGUUUGAAAAGUCACCCCUGCGUGUGAAGAACUUUGGCAUCUGGCUGCGCUCCGACUCCCACAGUGGCACACACAACAAGUACAGAGGGUACCUACCAGGAUCUGACCACCGCUGGUGCAGUCACACGGUGCUACCGCGACAUGGGGGCCCGGAUACCAUGCCCGAACUCACUCCAUCCAGAUCAUAAAGGUGGAAGAGAUUGCAGUUCUCAAGUAUUUCCACUACUCCAAGAGCAAAUUCCCAUUGCCCCAUGCAGCGCCAGCACAAGCCACGCUUCACCACCAAGAAGCCCAACACCUUCCUCUAG
rnacentral:lncRNA from 1 species